rnacentral:lncRNA from 1 species
AGAUGUUGAUGUGAAGUCUAUCAAGCACAGCAAAAACUGCCCUAGCCAGGUCUCCUCUUACUUCUCUUGUCUACUGCUAGCAUCUCCAGAGCUGGCCUUCCCUCAGAUUCCUCUAAUUCCCAGUUCCACACAACCAGUCACCAUGAGGACCUUCUACCUGGCUUUUCUGCUGUUCUUCAUGAUCUUCUCCUACACUAACACAGGGACCUGUAAACAAUUAUCUAUUUACCUUCUCUCUGUAUCAAGGAAAGAUAAAGACUGAAAAAUGAUUGGCAGAAUCAUGUGACUGGAAUCUUAUGAGCCUGGGAGUGUUGGAAUCUUUGGAAUUCGGUUGAGAGAAACUGUUUCUCUGGAUCUGAAGAGGAAAGGAGAGAGAAGUGUGGCCAAAUCUGUCAGAAUAUGAAUUCCCAAGUCACUAGCCUUUGAAGAUCCUUUGGCUGUGGUAAGGAUUUAUUCUUCAAUGAUCUGCUGGUUAGGAAUUGAGGAGCUGUCUUCAACUUGGAGGACUUAUCAAUUGUGGACAUUUCACCUUGGAUUCCUGUUUUGGCUCUCAGGGACUCUAUUGUUUUGUGGAAAAGGACUGCAUCAAGGUAAAAUAAAGACUGCAAAAUGAUUGGCAGGAGCAUGUGACUGGAAUCUUAUGAGCCUGGGAGUGUUGGAAUGUUUAGGAUUCAGUUGAGAGAAACUGUAUCUCUGGAUCUGAAGAGGAAAGGAGAAAGAAGUGUGGCCAAAUCUGUCAGAAGAUCAAUUCCCAAGACACUAGCCUAUGAAGAUCCUUUGGCUGUGGUAAGGAUUUAUUCUUCAAUCGUCUGCUGGUCAGGGAUUGAGGAGCUAUCUUCAACUUGGAGGAGUUAUCAUUUGUGUACAUUUCACCUUGGAUUCCUGUUUUGGCUCCCAGAGACUCUAUUGAGAGCUUUGUUUCAUUAAUAGGGAUACAAAUUUGGUAACCUCUGUUUUGUUACUGGUUUUUGUAUCUGUACAGAUUAGUAUAUAUCUACUUAUACCUGCUUAUUACACUGUAAUUCAGUUCAUGUAAGUCUUUCAAGGUUUAUCUAUGUUCCUCCUGUUUUCAUUUACAGCACAAUAGUAUACCAUUAUAGUCAUAUAUUGUUUAAGAGCCAUUUAGUAAUUGAUGGGUAUCCCUCACUUUCCAAAUCCUUGCACCCCUAAAGAGAGCUGCUUAUCUAUUUUUAUACUUCCC